UGGGCUACACCUUCUGCUGGAGACCAUAUAAGGUCACUGGAAAAAGGAAGUCUCUAUAUAUAUAUCUCUAUCUCCCCUUCUCCCCCUCUCCCUGUCCCUCUUCCUGUCCCUCUCCCCGUCCCUGUCCCCCCUUGCCUCUCUCUCCCUUUUGCCUGCUUGCCGUGUGGGGCCCAAUGAUAUAUAGGCCCUUUCUACAACAUUGAAAAUGAAACUGAGUUCUGAGUCUGUGUCUGUAUACUCCUCUGAUUUCCAAGGGUCUGUGGGCAAUGACUAAGGAGACAAGAUAUGCAGGAAGCAUUCCAAGAAGGAGGAGAA
rnacentral:lncRNA from 1 species